rnacentral:rRNA from 1 species
UACGUAGGGUGCAAGCGUUGUCCGGAAUUAUUGGGCGUAAAGAGCUCGUAGGCGGUCUGUCACGUCGGCUGUGAAAACCCGAGGCUCAACCUCGGGCCUGCAGUCGAUACGGGCAAACUAGAGUGUUGCAGGGGAGACUGGAAUUCCUGGUGUAGCGGUGAAAUGCGCAGAUAUCAGGAGGAACACCGGUGGCGAAGGCGGGUCUCUGGGUUGUAACUGACGCUGGAGGAAGCGAAAGCGUGGGGAGCGAACAGGA